CACUAUGCCUAGCCAUAAACAUUGAUAGUAACCUACACCCACUAUCCGCCCGGGAACUACGAGCAUCAGCUUAAAACCCAAAGGACUUGGCGGUGCUUUAGAUCCACCUAGAGGAGCCUGUUCUAGAACCGAUUACCCCCGUUCAACCUCACCUUUCCUUGUCCCUCCCGCCUAUAUACCACCGUCGUCAGCUUACCCUGUGAAGGACUCAUAGUAAGCAAGAUUGGCAUAGCCCAAAACGUCAGGUCGAGGUGUAGCGUAUGGAAAGGGAAGAAAUGGGCUACAUUCCCUAACACAGGGAACUACGAAUGAUACACUGAAACAUGUAUCUGAAGGAGGAUUUAGCAGUAAGCAGAAAAAAGAGCGUUCCGCUGAAACCGGCCCUGAAGCGCGCACACACCGCCCGUCACUCUCCCCGAGCUCAUCAACCCCAAAUACUUAAGACCUAAAAACUGCAAAGGGGAGGCAAGUCGUAA
rnacentral:rRNA from 1 species